rnacentral:rRNA from 1 species
UACGUAGGGGGCAAGCGUUGUCCGGAUUUAUUGGGCGUAAAGAGCGUGUAGGCGGUUUGGUAGGUCCGCUGUGAAAACUCGAGGCUCAACCUCGAGACGCCGGUGGAAACCAUCAGGCUAGAGUCCGGAAGAGGAGAGUGGAAUUCCUGGUGUAGCGGUGAAAUGCGCAGAUAUCAGGAAGAACACCCGUGGCUAAGGCGGCUCUCUAGUACGGUACUGACGCUGAGACGCGAAAGCGUGGGGAGCAAACGGAU